UGGGGAAUAUUGGACAAUGGGCGAAAGCCUGAUCCAGCCAUGCCGCGUGUGUGAAGAAGGUCUUCGGAUUGUAAAGCACUUUAAGUUGGGAGGAAGGGCAGUAAGCGAAUACCUUGCUGUUUUGACGUUACCGACAGAAUAAGCACCGGCUAACUCUGUGCCAGCAGCCGCGGUAAUACAGAGGGUGCAAGCGUUAAUCGGAAUUACUGGGCGUAAAGCGCGCGUAGGUGGUUCGUUAAGUUGAAUGUGAAAGCCCCGGGCUCAACCUGGGAACUGCAUCCAAAACUGGCGAGCUAGAGUAGGGUAGAGGGCGGUGGAAUUUCCUGUGUAGCGGUGAAAUGCGUAGAUAUAGGAAGGAACACCAGUGGCGAAGGCGACCACCUGGGCUCAUACUGACACUGAGGUGCGAAAGCGUGGGGAGCAAACAGG
rnacentral:rRNA from 1 species